rnacentral:rRNA from 1 species
GACGAACGCUGGCGGCGUGCCUAAUACAUGCAAGUCGAACGCUUUUUCUUUCACCGGAGCUUGCUCCACCGAAAGAAAAAGAGUGGCGAACGGGUGAGUAACACGUGGGUAACCUGCCCAUCAGAAGGGGAUAACACUUGGAAACAGGUGCUAAUACCGUAUAACACUAUUUUCCGCAUGGAAGAAAGUUGAAAGGCGCUUUUGCGUCACUGAUGGAUGGACCCGCGGUGCAUUAGCUAGUUGGUGAGGUAACGGCUCACCAAGGCAACGAUGCAGAGCAGACCUGAGAGGGUGAUCGGCCAUACUGGGACUGAGACACGGCCCAGACUCCUACGGGAGGGAGCAGUAGGGAAUCUUCGGCAAUGGACGAAAGUCUGACCGAGCAACGCCGCGUGAGUGAAGAAGGUUUUCGGAUCGUAAAACUCUGUUGUUAGAGAAGAACAAGGAUGAGAGUAAAACGUUCAUCCCUUGACGGUAUCUAACCAGAAAGCCACGGCUAACUACGUGCCAGCCGCCGCCGUAA